UAUCAGCCGUCUGCUCGGAAGCGGAACACACUCGCCGGCUUUACCAGCGCAACAGCUUUUGUUUCUGCUCUUCGCAGUCAUUUAGCUGACAUGUUUGUAAACACCAACGUGUAUUUUGUAAAAAUUUAGCGUUUCACAAAUCAACGUUCACAAACACCAGGUCACUUGCGGAACCUCCCACGCUGCCACCAGCGCUCUCCGCAGGCCGGGCAAGGCGGGACCUGCCCGUCCCUCGCCGCGCCGCCGCCGCAAAGCCUCUCGGGAGUUGAAGUCCCGCACUCGGCCUUUUCCAUGGCGGCCCCGCGGCUUCUGGACUCCGAGUCCCAUGGAGCGCUGCGGGGGGCCCGGCGCCCGGCCCGCGGCCCCGGCAGCUGGCGGCAGGGCGGCUAGUUCAAGUUGCCAUAGCGGCGAGGUGAGGCGGGCGGAAGGUGCCUGGGGACGGGGCGGCCUCGCCUCGGAGCGCUGUGCGGUUGCUCAUGACAACAAAGAGGAAUGCUUAACCAUAAAUAGCUUCAAGGUACUGAUGGCAGAGUCAUCCAGUGAUUCAGACAAUUUACUUACGGGUCGGAUUGGAAGGCGGCCUUUGAGGGCAUCCCACAGCAGAGCUCAGAACUAUGGUGCUGAAGAAGUUACAGAGAAGAUCCAUACUUUAGCAAGCACUUUGCAGGAUACCAACAGAAAUCUAAGACACGUUGACCAUUUGCUAGGACAAUACAGAGAAUACAACAAGGAACAAACCAAAGCAAUAACAACUUUGAAAGAAACGCUGGAGCAAUCUAUAGGUCAAUUAAGGAGCCAGCGACUAACACGAAACUCUGGAAUGAGAAGUGCAUCUCUCUCAAGCUUAUAUCCCAGUGACCUGGAUGGAGAAGGAAUAUCAGUCAACUGCCGCUUCCUGCCCACUUCGCCUCUCAGGGAUUAUGGAGACUCCCAGGGCAAUAAACACCGAAGGUCCAGAUCUGCAAGUGUCCGGUUUGUCAGUGAGGCAGAUAACGUGGAGCAGCUGCAUUCUUUCCACCAGUCUCUUCGAGAUCUCAGCAGUGAACAAGUUCGCCUGGGAGAUGACAUCAGUCGUGAGCUUUCAAGAAGAAAUCGGACUGAUGCUGAAUUAAGAAAGACUCUAGAAGAAUUGUCUGAAAAGCUCACUGAGUCCCAAAGACAAGAAACGGUAUCAGAUAGGGUAGAGAGAAGACUUCAGGAGAUAGAAGAAGAAAUGCGUGCUGAAAGACAGCUUGUAGAAAGGCGCCAGGACCAGCUGGGACAUGUUUCUCUUCAGUUACAGGAGGUUUUAAGGAAGCAAGAUGUUAAAGCAGAUGAAACAGAAGAACUCAUGAGAAACAAACUUGUGCAAUAUGAAAGGGAAAAGCACCAGCUUGAGCAGGAAUUGGAGCAGUCCCGGAAAAAGUUGAGUGAAUCUGAAGGCAGUAGAGAAGCUCUUUUGCAUCAGAUUGAGGAUCUUCGUUCCCAGCUUUUGAGAGCAGAAGAAGACCGUGUAGAAUUGCAACAUCAAAUUUCAUAUGCUGCUGUGCGUCGCCAGAGCUAUCAGGAUGUACAAGAUGAUGACAGGAGAAUUAGAGCAGUAGUUGAACGAUAUGAGAGAGAGAAGCAAGAUCUAGAGAAACAUAUUUUGGAACUUAAAGCAAAGCUGAGUCACAGUGCUGUAAUGUCAGAGGUAGAAGAACUGAAGAGAUGUAUAGAGCGUAAGGACAAGGAGAAAGCACAGUUGGUAAUGCACAUACAGGUGUUAACAUCUGACCUGGAAAAUAGGGAGAAACAGCAGGAAAAAAUGCUGGACCAGCUAAAGGAGAUUCAGAAUUGCUACAAGGCUUGUGAGAGUGGACGUAGACAAACUGAACUCCAGUCUGCUGAGUUAGCUCAACAAGUUGAAGAGAGUACCAAGGAAGCAGAACGGUAUCUCACUGAAUUCAAGCACUCAGAGGCACUCAGGCUGGAGAUUGAGAAAAAAAGAGAAGAUUUGAAGGUGAGAGCCCAGGAAACCAUCCGCCAAUGGAAAUUGAAGUGUAAGAAACUGGAUCGUGAGGUAGAAAAGCAAAAUCAAACUAUCAGUGAAUUAAUGGACAAGAAUAGUCAGGCCCUUAAAGAAAAAGAUGAUCUCAAAAGUCAGCUUCUCUCAGCCAUAAACCAAAUAGAAAACCUGCGGAAAGAGCUGAAUGAUGUGCUUACGAAGAGAGCCCAGCAGGAAGAACUCCUCCACUGUAAAGAGGUAAAACUGAAUGAAAUGGAGUCACACCAGGUAUCUCUUGAAGAAGAGAUCAAAGAAGUUCAAGGUACUGUAAAAAAAUUGGAGAAUGAGUUGAAAAAGCAAAUCUUUCUACAAAAUCAAAUGGAAGCUGAGAAGGAACACUUGAAGACAGAACUUGCAACUAUUAACUUGUUUCAUAAAAAAGACCAAGAACGACUCCUAGAAAUGCAAGCAGAUGUAAAAAAUUUAAGCGCUGUACGUGUGGAACUAACAAACAGAAUUGCAGAAGAGGAGAAAGCCAAAAAGGAAUUACUUAAGAGCGUCUCAGACCUCCAGAAACAGCAGGAAUCUAGUAAUGAAGAGAUGAUUUCAGCUAACAGGCAGCUGAAGAUGGAAAGAGAAACUCACCAACAGGAGUUGGCAGAUCUUAGAUCAGAGUUACAAAAUGUGAAAAUGAAACAUGAACAAAAUGUUCAAGAACUCACGAAACUCCUUAAACAAGAAAAAGAUAAUGCAGAGGCUCAGAUUAGAAUGCUAAAGAUGGAACUUUUAGAAGAGAAAAACAUAACCAAGGCUCAGUGUCGACAACUGGAAAAAAUAAAAGUUGAGAGUGAUAAAUUGACAGAAGAAUUAAUCCAAAAUGAGGAAGAAAAUAUAAAACUAAAACGGAAAUGUGAGUUUGUAAAACAAGAACUGGAGAAAAAGGAAAAGCAGAUCAGCAAUGAAGAAGAUAAUUUGAGAAAGAUGAGUGAGGCCAGACUGCAGUUUAAAGAUCAGCUGCGUCAAUUAGAAAUGGAACAGCAAUCCAUCCUCUCCAUGAUAGGAAGUGAAAUUGAUGCUGCUUGUGAAAUUUUUUCUCGAGACUCCAUGGAGAAAUUCAAAGCAAUAUCCCUUACACCAACAGUACUGAACGAUCCUCAUCGCUGGUUAGCAGAAACAAAGACUAAGCUUCAGUGGCUGUGUGAGGAGGUAAAGGAAAGAGAAAGUAAGGAAAAAAAGCUACGAUGCUACUUGCUGCAGAGCCGAGAACAGCUCAAGCACUUAACACAGAUAAAGGAGACUGAACAUCAGUCUCUCUUUAAACAGAUAAAAAGCCAAGAAAAACUUCUGGAAGAAGUUCACAGAGAAAAAAGAGAGCUACUAGAAAAGACACACAGAAGAGAGGAAGAAAUGGGAGCUCUCCAGGAACGUAUUAUGGCCUUAGAAAUGAGUACCCGAGUAGCUUUAAACCACCUGGAGUCUGUGCCUGAGAAACUGAGCCUGUUAGAAGAUUGCAGAAAUACUGGAGAGUCCCAUUGCCGAAGGGAGAUGAUUGAGGAGAGGUAUAUGAGGUAUAAAGACAUAGUGACUUCUUUGCAGCAGCAGCUGGAAGAUUCAAAGCAAAGAGUGGGGCAAGUCAAGGAUGUGAAAAUGGAUGCUGAAAUUUCUGAUGUAGAAGUGGCUGCUCACUCUUCUAGUUGGCGAACUCAAAACAGCUUUUUGUGCAACUCACUGCUUUCAAGUUCAGGUUCACUUAUGAAAGGGAUGGUUCCUUUGGAUACAAGUGGCACCAAGGAAGAUUCUACUAAUGCUGCUGUUAGUGAAAUGAAGCUGCAAGCAGAAGGAGGAAAGCAGUAGAGUAUUUUACGAAACCACACCAGUUUUCUCUGUGAAUCUUCAGCAGUGGGCUCCCUAAUAGGCAGUAAUCUGCAACACCAGGUAUUCCUAAUAACCUGACAAAUUCAGCCGUAUCACUCUGCAGCUGCACAAUUCUCCAGGGAUAAGCUCAUGGACACACUAACUAGCUCGGAAACAAAAAGCUUCAUUCUUUGGUUUUGGCAGUGAAAGCAGUGAGAAGCAGCAAGGCAGG